CACUGAUUAUUAGUAUAACUCAACUAAGUACUUUCCAGGUUUCCUCAGAGUUUCCCAAACUUAAGACUCAUCUAGGGCGCUGAUUUUCCCAGGCUGCUUCUGCGAAAAGUUGCAUUCAAUGGGCCCCGGAAUCGAUUUCCCAAGCCCCGUGCUGGUAGGGUGAACUCAUUAUAUCGGAUCCUCCGUCAAGUUGUCUUUGUGAGGAAGGGAUUAAUAUUCCCAUUUUCUAGUUGAGGAGUCUGAGGCGCCGAGCAAUUCGCUCAAUCAGACACAGCUUUAAGGAAUAGGGGUGAUUAUCAAUGCGAAACUCUCUUCCCAGAGAAACCUCCUUACUGUGGCUUUUUAAAUUCCCUUUUCUAGUCUCCACCCGCCCCCGACCCCACCCCUCUGAGGGAGGGGUAACCCUGCCCUAGUCUUUCUGGCACCUGGGAUUGCUAGAUCCGGGAAAGACAUUUCUCCUUCGGCUUGGACUUUGAUACUCUGCUCUUGGAAGUAAUAAUAAGGCGCAGGAAAAUACGGGAAUCCAAAAAGAAAAACCCUUGUGCGCCCCCCCAAUAUCUAAAUAGUCAUAAAAAUCCACUCAUUUGCCAGUGAAUUCAAAAGCCAGUUUCUUAUUUUUAUUUUUCAGUUAACAUUUUUUUUACAGACCGUACCUGAAAUUCUUUUCUUUAAAAGAUGAAAUGUCUUUAUCUGCUGUUGCAAGUAAAGCAAUUAGGGAAAGUGCUGAGUUUAUUAUGAAAAUGAAAUAAUUGAGGUUCGGAGUGUGGGAGGCUUUCAGGAGGCCCAACCAUUGGGAAGCAUCAUCAUCACCAAAACACCUGCCCAUCAAAAAACACCCUCCUGCCUCGCAAAAUGCCAAAUCGCCAGUUUCUUUUGAACUACACACUUUACACCAAGAACCAUUUCCACCAGGAAAGUUUUCUUGACAUUUUACAAACCUCAAGAAUUGUCUUUAGAUUUCUGUAGAAUUUUAUUUUUGUGGUUCUUUCUUCAUGUUAAGUUCAUACUCGGUGGUUUUUUUUUUUUUUCCUUUCCCUCAGAGUUCUCACAUACUUUUUCAUUUAUUUUUAUCUUUGUAAGCCAUCUUAAAUCCUUUUCUGAACAAGGUGGGUUAUAAAUAAACAAAAAUUCUUACAUCAGUUAUGGUAUGUCUCAGAACGCCAAGCAUUUUUACUCGAAUGCCAAGUCCUCAAGUUACUUCUCCUGGUAAAUUUUAUAAAAUAAUUGGGACUUCGUGUAUUUUUGCAACAAUAUCUUAGUUCCUUGAAUUAUUAUUCAGUCACUUUUUGCUUAAAAAAUUUGUUGAACAUUUACUCUUUGAGAGUUUGACGACACAAUGGUUGGCAAAUACAAAAGGGUCCCUGAAUUUACAGGCUUCUUUGAGGAGAAAGUUAAGAGAUGUAAGGCACAUCAAUGACUUAAUAAUAGCUCUGGGAAGUGAAAGAAAAAGUGAUCCCUCAUUGAAAAUAUACACUGGUUAUAAGAUGCAUGCUGAUUAAGGAAAAUAAAAAAUAUCUGAAGCAAUAUGGCAAAAAGUACCUUUUAUUAGCUGCCCAUUAAUAACACCAGGUUCCAGGCAAACACAUAACAUAUAUGUUAUAUCUGUACAACAACUCUAUGACUUGGAAUUAUUUUUCCAAUUUUAUAAACAUAGGCUUAAUUGAGACUUACAGAGGUUAGGCCAUAAGUAGUGGAGAAAUCGAACACAUCUAGGCUGUAUUUGUAGGCUAUAUACUACAUAUUUAGCAGCCCUCAGAGUGAGGCAUUCAGGGAAAAAAGUAGGCAGGAAAAAUAACUAUAAGAAUUGAGGUAUGAAAAUCUGUUUACUGCCAAGGCCAUUCAAGUGUACAGUCCCAGUUAAUUUCCAUAUUUAUCUAUUCUAAAUAUGUAUUUGGAAUAUAUAUUUUUAUUUCUGGAUUUAUUCCAAAAUCACCCCCUCCAACUCUUAUUUGCUUGAUUUUUAGUAGAAAGCAAGGAUUGCUCCGUCCUUGACAGACUUUGUUUCAUUGCUCCACCCAUCCCUUCUACCCAGAAUGCACUGUGCUUACAAAAAGAGACAGUCUGAGAGAGUGGACACCUUCCUGCCCUUCUCCUCCUCUUCCUCCUUUUCCUCAUCCCCUUCCCCUUACAUCAUCAAGGAGAACACCAAUGGAGCAUUUAUGUGCCAGCUGUUAUUCCCAGCAUUCUACUUGUAAAAGCUCAUUUAACUAUCUCAGCUGCUACUUGAAGAGAGUGUUUUUAUCCCCACUCUAAGAAACUGAGAAAAAGGCCUUGAGUGAUUUACACCAAAGAAUCCAUAAGGCAGAGAGAAUUCCAGCUCAGUCUUCUCUAGGAAACAUCCUCUGCCCUGGAAUGCCUAUUAGGAAAAGUACACGGUGCUGGAAUUGCAAAGGUUUGUGCUCAGGGUGAAGCCUCAUCAGUGUAGCUUGUGGCUUUUUUGAGAAAACUCAACCUAUCUGAGCCUCAAUUUACCCAUCUGUAAACUGAGAAUUAUACCUAUCAGAAUUUAAUGUGGGUAUAUAUUUAAGGCACCUAGAAAAUAGGAGCCUCUCAAUAAAUUUAAUUCUAUUUUUUCUCCAAUAAUUUUUUAAGACUAGGUUGAAAUCUCACUUCCUGUGAAAGCCUUUCCAAAUCUCUGACACCCAGAAUUAUCUACACAACAGCAUUUAAAGUAAUCGUUCCAUUUUUCUAUAAAGGAAAAAUCCAACAUUACUUUUGCCAAACAUAAAAUUUUAGGGAUGUACAUAAAAUAGGCAUAUGUCUACUUAAAAUAUUUAAUUUUCCAUUUUAGAUAAAUAUUCAUAAAGUAAAAUUAUACAUACAUUAAUGUAUAUAUCCUGCCUUUUCCAGUCAUGUUUUAUAACAUAAUUUUAUGCAAAUCUCAAUAUGCAACUUUGACAUCAAUGAUUUUAUCACUAGAGCCUCAUUUUGAAUUAUCAGUGUUUUGUUUUUAAAGUAUAUUAUUCACACUUCUGUGUAAAUUUUUGAAGGUACUUAAUUUUAUGAAAACUCUUAUGACUCUGCCACUGGGAAUUUUAUUACAAAUUACAAGUUCCCAAUUGUUUUGCAUUAAGAAGUUGUUUUGGCUCAUUCAUCCCAAAUAUGCACAUUAAUGAUCUACACCGUUUUUUUGUUAAAUGGUUUUUAACAUGGGACGCUUAAAAUUGUGAGGUCAUACCCCCAUAAAUAGUUUGCUUAAUUUGUUUAAAAUAUCUUUACCUCCAUUUAAACCAAUUUCAUCAGAUGGCUCUGUAUGGAUCCCAAACUAGGAUUGAUUGAGGAUGUUUUAGAUUAACUGCCCACCCCCUACUCAAAUAGUUCAGUAGUUUGCAGUUCAUUUUUAUGUACUAUAAUUGAAGAGAAAUAGAGAUCCUGUGAUAUAGAGGUUCUAAGUAACAGGCAUUGCUACACAUUAUGAAAUCUUACUUCUCUCAACAAAGCUGGUGCAAAGGUAUUAUUUGGCUCUUUUGAGCCAGAGGAAAAAACCAAGACACAGAAAUUACAAGCAGUAAAUAAGAAAAAGCAUUUGAACUCAACUAAUGUAAAUUCAAAGUCUAUACCUUAAGCAUUCUGCUGUGAUGCCUCAGAGAAGACUUUUUAAAGUGUUGACCAAAAUCUUUUUCUGAUGCCUAAUUUUGGGAGGGAAAUGAUGUGCCUUAUGUCCACGCAUAUACCACACUCUCCCUUGGAUUUUUCCAUUGCCCCCCCCCCUUUUUUACCACUAUUGGAGUACUCUUGUCAGUAGGCUUUGCAUUCUGACUGUGGAGAAGUUUUUCUUGCUACUCUGUAUUCCUGAAGUACCAUUAGCUCUAUUGGAGUGCUUUUGUCAGACUGCCUUGCAUUAUGGGUACUUGGAAGCUUAAUAUUUGAAUUCUCUGAAGUGCUUAUCAUAAGGCCUUAUAGAUAAAUAAGCAUUUCAGAUUGUCUCCUCAAACUGGAAUGUUUAUAUUCAUUAGGCUGACUCUUUUUGGUACUUUGUUACAAGGUUCAGGAGUUGCUUUGAAAGUUGUUUUUUAACUCCUUCUCACCACAAGGGAAGAGCUCAGUGGAUAUCUACCUACCAUAAGGUAGGCAAAGGAAGAGUUUAAAAUAUUUGGUCAAUUAAUUUACCGGCCAAAAGUUGACGGUAAAAUGGAAAUCAUUUAUUUUAACCCUUCGUGGCUCAGCAGUUAACAAACCUGACUAGAAUCCAUGAGGAUGCAGGUUCAAUCCGUGGCCUCAGUGGAUUAAGGAUUCGGCAUUGCCAUGAGCUGUGGUGUAGGCCGCAGAGGUGGCAGAGGUGGCUCGGAUCCCACGUUGCUGUGGCUGUGGCACAGACCAGCAGCUAUAGCUCCAAUUCAAUCCCUAGUCCGGGAACUUCCAAAUGCCACAGGUGCGGCCCCAAAAAGCAAAUAAACAAAUAAAUAACAAAUAAUAAGUUUUCCAGAAACCACUAAAUAUCAAGAAAAAAUGAACAUACUUUUUGUAAAACUGAUAUUUCAGAAACUCGCUUAGGCAUUAGAGAUUAGAGUAUUUCAUUGAUAAUAACACACAAUAUUUUAACACUUUACAACUUCUGAAAUGGGGAUGCAUCUUAAAGUGAAUUGCUGUUGGCCAGGCAGGAGUCAGAGCAUACUUGUCAUUGCUAACAUGGUCAUGGACUUGAUGGUAGAUGUUUAUGUUGUCAUCAUUUUAAGAUACUUGCAUCGAUAGCACUACACAUGGUGAAUUUAAUUGUCACUUGAGAUGUCUUCAAAAAGAAUAUACUAAAGUUCUUUGUGAAAAGGCAAAGAAAUAGAUCUAUGUGAUAUUGAUAAAAAUCUAUGACUAAAUAAUUUUCAAAGCUCUCUCUGUCUCUAUCUCUCUCAAUGUAUAUGUGUAUAUAUAUAUAUAUAUAUACACACAUACACACAUAAUAAUAGUUCUAAAUUAAUUGUGUGUGUCAUAGUUUUUCUCAUGGUAUAGAAAAUAUUAAAGUAUCCAAAAAUAGAUUGUGUUUUAGAAUUGUAGACAUCUAGUAGUUUUUACUAUUGCUAACAUAAAAGUCUCAUUUUAUUUUUAUAUAAAGGAAUCAGUGUUAAGAGAAAUCCAGGAAACCUAUCACCCACUGGAUUUGCAGAUGAAAUAUUCAAUUGUGUAUAAAAUUAUUGCUUUUACUUUGUUGUGUCAAUUUUUCUCAUAGAUUUCUGAAAUUGAGUUUACUAAACACAUCACAAAAUUCCAUUUCUUUGUGUGUAGCUUGGUUUAUUCCCCUUUUUGCUAAAAAUGUUGCCCUUAUAAUAGGUAAU
rnacentral:lncRNA from 1 species